AUUGCUUUUCAGCCUUUUGAUUAAGAUCAAGUGUGGUAUCUGUUCUAACUGGUUUUAAUAUCUGAUCUUUCACCUUAUGUGGGGACAGUAUCUUCAAUUGAUUUUUGGAUCAGGGAAAUGGAAUAAUGAUGUGCUGUGACCACAGAAGGGCUGUUAUGACACAGUGGUAGCACCUCUACCUCUG